rnacentral:lncRNA from 1 species
AAAGACUUUCUAAAGAUUCUCUUAUAUUAAUUCGUAUCCCUAAUUUCGACACACAGAGACUUUAAUAUCUUUAAAUAUUAUACUUUCUCAGCCUUAGAGAGGAAGAGAGAUGGCGAUUGGAAUAAUGGAGGUGAAGCUGGUGCGUGCUAAAGGUCUCAAACAGUCUUAUUUUCUAGGUAUGCGUGGCUCUGUGUAUGUGAUUCUAAUAUACAGAUGUGCUGUGAUGAGUUCAAUGAAUCAUGCAUUUCUUGAAUGUUGAGAAGAGAAAAAUCAUUAUUAAAUGAUUUGAGUUCUUUUUCUCAUAUUGAACCCAAAAAUAAUUUAUUAACAAGAUUUCCUUAAUCAACAUUUUUCUUCUUUAAUCAUAUUGAGUCUUUUUUAGGACUAAAACAUCUCAUCGAUGCAAUUGAAUUGGAUGAAUCAAUCCAAAAACUUUACUCUUCUUUAAUCAUAUUGAGCUUUUUUCGAUGUAACUUGUUGAACUUGGUUUCCUUGAUGAAACUACAUUCUUGUUCUUUCUUUCUUUUUCCUUUUUUUCUUCUCUCUCUCUUUUUUUUUUUCCUUUCCCUCUAUAAAAGGUUUAAUAUCAUAAAAGGUCCUCAUAUAAUGGCCAGUCAAUGUGAUUAUGCUUUACAUUGUAGUCUAUUGCAUGACAUAUAAAACAAUUGACAAAAUAUUUUGAUUCUUUAAUUACGAGAAAUUAUACACGCUUCAAAGUAUCAAAUGUGGAUCCUUUAUAGUAUUAUUUAUUUUUUACAACUUAUUCGUAUUCUAAUCCUAAUACCAUGAGAACUUUAAAAGAGACCGGUCAAUGUGAUUUUAAAUAGCUGAUAAUAUGUCAUAUACAUUAUUUUGUAGGUAAAAUAGAUCCAUACGUUUUGCUUCAAUACAGAAAUCAAGAGUACAAGAGCAGAAUUGCAAAAGGUAACAUUCCUCGCGCGAGUGCACAAUAAUUUGUUUUUUCAAGUUUCCUAAAUACACUACUUGUCAACAUAUUCAAAGAAUUUACUUGCUCUGACAAUGCUCCAACAAUAACAAAAAAAAAAAAAAAAUGACAUACUUUUUAGAGUCCAAUAUAAAAUAACUAAUGAGAUUUUAAUUUCUAUAAUCAUGUAGGGCAAGGUCGCAACCCAAUAUGGAAUGAGAAGUUUAAGUAUAUAGUCGAUUAUCCAGAGGAUGAUGAGCAGUACAAACUCGUGCUCAAGGUCAUGGAUCACGACAAGUACACUGCAGAUGAUUAUCUCGGCGAGGCAAAGUAGGACAAUAUGAUAUUUAUCAAAACAUCUCCUAUAUAAUUGCGUCUAAUCUUAUUCUAAUUAGUUUGGUAUAACUUAUCACAAUCUACAUGCAGGAUCUAUGUGAAAGAACUUAUAGAAUUAGGAGUGGAGAAAGGAAAGGCUAAACUUCGUCCUCGAAAAUACAGAGUUGUAUAUACCAACCUAACUUAUUGCGGAGAGAUUCAAGUUGGAAUUACUUUUACUGUAAAGGUAACGAUAUAAAAUAAUCCCUCAAACCUAAAGUGACCAAUAUUAUUAGAAUUGGAAAGUUACAAGAAAAAUAUAUAUAAUGGAACCUGAACAAACUAUAAGUUUCAGGCUUCUUUUAACAAAUUGAUACUGAUGUACAAUGUUAUUUGAUUACAGAAAGAAACCAUUGAAGGAGAUAUUUUUCGAAAAUCUUCACGAAGAUAUUUGGACGACGAAGAACGAACCACCAAAAGAAUCAAACUUUGGUAGCAAGAAGAAUAAGGAAGAAGAAAAAUAGCAAGAAGAAUAAGGAAGAAGAGAAAUACGUAUCGACUUAAUUUGGGAAUUUAAUGUUGUUGUACAAGCAUUCUUUUGCUCCCUCUUGUUGAAUCUGAAUUGCUUUAGGGACUCUAAACAAAUAAUUUUAGCUGAUUAUUCAGCCUUUAAUCUGGAUUACAAAAUAUACAAGGAUAUCCGGAGAAAGAACAAGAAAAGAAACUUUUUUAAAAAUGUGAGUUUAGGUUUUUGAAAUUUGUAUAAUUUGAUUCAAAGAUUUGGAAUAUUAAUUGUUGGAAAUCUACUUAUA